CACGUAGGGUGCGAGCGUUGUCCGGAAUUAUUGGGCGUAAAGAGCUCGUAGGCGGUGUGUCGCGUCGGCCGUGAAAACCUGCAGCUUAACUGUGGGCUUGCGGUCGAUACGGGCAUCACUGGAGUUCGGCAGGGGAGACUGGAAUUCCUGGUGUAGCGGUGAAAUGCGCAGAUAUCAGGAGGAACACCGGUGGCGGAAGGCGGCCCUCUGGACGGAUACUGAC
rnacentral:rRNA from 1 species